rnacentral:rRNA from 1 species
UUUGUAGAAGGUGCUUCGGGUGCGGCCCCGGUCCAAGUCCCUUGGAACAGGGCGGUUGCAGAGGGUGAGAGUCCCGUACGCGGCCGAUGGCCAAGCCCAUGUGAAGCCCUUUCGACGAGUCGAGUUGUUUGGGAAUGCAGCUCUAAAUGGGUGGUAAAUUUCAUCUAAAGCUAAAUAUCUGCCGGAGACCGAUAGCGCACAAGUAGAGUGAUCGAAAGAUGAAAAGCACUUUGAAAAGAGAGUCAAACAGUACGUGAAAUUGUUGAAAGGGAAGCGCUUGCAACCAGACUCGUUCGCGGGUGCUCAGCCGUCCCUCGGGGCGGUGCACUCUCCCGCGUUUCGGGCCAGCAUCGGUUUUGGCGGCCGGAUAAAGGCACUGGGAACGUAGCUCUCUUCGGGGAGUGUUAAGCCCAGGGUGCAAUGCGGCCAGCCGGGACCGAGGACCGCGCGUUCGCUAGGAUGCUGGCGUAAUGGUUGCCAGCGACCCGUCUUGAAACACGGACCAAGGAGUCGACCAAUCUGGCGAGUUUUAGGGCAUGAAACCCUGAAGCGCAAUGAAAGUGAACGUAGGUGGGAGCCCCCGGGUGCACCAUCGACCGAUCCUGAUGUCCUCGGAUGGAUUUGAGUAUGAGCCCGGUUGGUCGGACCCGAAAGUGAGUUUUUUCCAGGCUCUCCCCCGGGCACUCUUGCUAACGAAUGCUUCAGGAUGGUGAACUAUGCGUGAAUAGGGUGAAGCCAGAGGAAACUCUGGUGGAGGCUCGCAGCGGUUCUGACGUGCAAAUCGAUCGUCAAAUUUGCGCAUAGGGGCGAAAAGACUAAUCGAACUAUCUA